CCGCCCGUAAACAAGGGCUCACAAUGCCCGUCUUUCCUCCGAGAGCCGGCUCCUCUCCUGGCCUGGUCCCCUGGGUCCGCGGCCUGCCCUGUCCCUCGUCCUCGCCCGAGUCUGUCACUGAAAGGCCAGCACUGCUUCCUCAGGGAAAAGCCCGGUCUUUUGGCAUCCAUCCUAAGAGGUCCAUGCCAAUGUCACUGGCUAGGAAACUCCUGGAAAAUACCCCGCACCCCACACUCAGCCAGAAAGGGGUGUGGAGCACGGACACUAACAUCAGGAGGCUGCCGCCCAGAGCGUGGAAACGCACAUCAGGAAACCUCCGACUUCAUUUCCCCUCCUUCGAACGAGGGACUUCUCUCGGUGAUCUGCAUGGCUCCUCCACGAC
ensembl:lncRNA